UCCAGACUCCUACGGGAGGCAGCAGUGGGGAAUAUUGGGCAAUGGACGCAAGUCUGACCCAGCAACGCCGCGUGAAGGAAGAAGGCUUUCGGGUUGUAAACUUCUUUUAAGGGGGAAGAGCAGAAGACGGUACCCCUUGAAUAAGCCACGGCUAACUACGUGCCAGCAGCCGCGGUAAUACGUAGGUGGCAAGCGUUGUCCGGAUUUACUGGGUGUAAAGGGCGUGCAGCCGGGCUGACAAGUCAGAUGUGAAAUCCCGCGGCUCAACCGCGGAACUGCAUUUGAAACUGUCAGUCUUGAGUACCGGAGAGGUCAUCGGAAUUCCUUGUGUAGCGGUGAAAUGCGUAGAUAUAAGGAAGAACACCAGUGGCGAAGGCGAUUCUCUGGACUGUAACUGACGCUGAGGCUCGAAAGCGUGGGGAGCAAACAGGAUUAGAUACCCCAGUAU
rnacentral:rRNA from 1 species